AUGGAAACCUCCUUUUCCACGGAUCUACACACCCACCCACGCCCACCCAUGGAUGGAUGGAUGGAUGGGGCGCACCAGUUCUGGCGACGGCGACGCCGGAUCCACACCCACCUGCACAAUGGAGGCCUGCCGCAUCGGGAUCCACCGCCUGCUCUCGGUCUGGUGCGGCACACCGGACCACACCGGAGAUUGCUACUGCGGUGGCCGUCGACGACAGCGCAUCUCUGGCGGGACCUAGAUGCCCAAGGGCAUGCAUCCGUGGUUGGUGACCUUGCGUGCCGCCAUUGCCGGAGGCUGGCUGGUUGGACGGGCAUCCGGAAUGCCGGUGUUUGCAGCCUUACAUCUCAGGGAAGACGCUUGCUAAAAUGUGUGCAUGCCAAGAUUCCUACAGUUCCAGACUGA
rnacentral:rRNA from 1 species